AUUGAACGCUGGCGGCAGGCCUAACACAUGCAAGUCGAGCGAGCGGCGGACGGGUGAGUAAUGUAUGGGGAUCUGCCCGAUAGAGGGGGAUAACUACUGGAAACGGUAGCUAAUACCGCAUACCAUCGGAUGUGCCCAGAUGGGAUUUGCUUGUUGGUGGGGUAACGGCUCACCAAGGCGCCGAUCCCUAGCUGGUCUGAGAGGAUGACCAGCCACCCUGGAACUGAGCCACGGUCCGUACUCCUACGGGAGGCAGCAGUGGGGAAUAUUGCACAAUGGGCGCAAGCCUGAUGCAGCCAUGCCGCGUGUAUGAAGAAGGCCCUAGGGUUGUAAAGUACUUUCAGUCGGUAGGCGUUACCGACAGAAGAAGCACCGGCUAACUCCGUGCCAGCCGCCGCGGUAAUAC
rnacentral:rRNA from 1 species